rnacentral:lncRNA from 1 species
CUCCGCCUAGACUCCUCAAUCAAGCCGGCCCAAACCUCUCGGCCCAGUAAUCAGGCCCUCACCAGGCUCAACUUCAGCCCUACCAUUCAACCCAGCCCGGAAAGGGGAAAAUGACCAAGAUGCCCCGCUGGUAGGUCCUUCCGCAUGUGUAUCAGAGGAGAAUCAUACGUAUCAGAGGAGAAUUAAUGGCCGUUACGCAUGGAGCAGGCGCCUGACACAUCCGUACAUACGGAGCUAGGCGACAGAAGACAGCUAGCAUUGUGACAGAGAG